CAUUAAGAAGCUAUGGAACAGCGCUAGCCUUUUAAGCUAGAAAUAGGGGGUACACUCCCCCCUUAAUGA
rnacentral:tRNA from 2 species